CUAUCUCUGGAGGGUCUUGAAGAAAGAAGAAAUUCUGUAUUAUCCAAACAGAUGGUUAUGAGGAUCUACUUUCAACCUUCCACGUUAUGUGCUGUGAAUCAAGUCUUCACCCUACCAUUUAUCCAUUGUCUCCAAGAGCUUUUGAUAUAUCAGGAAAUAGGGAAGCCCUACAUAUGGAAAAGUGUAAGGAUUGUAGUGGUGAGAUGUGUGUUCCAGACUCUCUGGAUUCAAAUCCCAGCUCUGCUACUCAUAACAGUACAUGCUGCCCAUGCAUAAACAAUCAAAGUUAAACCGAGAAAAGAUGGAUACACAUGGAGCUGCUACCGAUUGGGAAAGGAUUUGGUUAUUUUAUUAUUUCAUAAUGCUGAGCUGUGAUGGACCUGACGACAUCUGAGAAAAAAAAAAUUGCCCAAAUGAAAAAAUAAAUAGC
ensembl:lncRNA novel transcript